rnacentral:rRNA from 1 species
CCUACGGGUGGCAGCAGUGAGGAAUAUUGGUCAAUGGCCGGAAGGCUGAACCAGCCAAGUCGCGUGAGGGAAUAAGGCCCUAUGGGUCGUAAACCUCUUUUGUCAGGGAGCAAAGGCGUCCACGAGUGGACGAAAGGAGAGUACCUGAAGAAAAAGCAUCGGCUAACUCCGUGCCAGCAGCCGCGGUAAUACGGAGGAUGCGAGCGUUAUCCGGAUUUAUUGGGUUUAAAGGGUGCGUAGGCGGAUCGUUAAGUCAGUGGUCAAAUUGAGGGGCUCAACCCCUUCCCGCCAUUGAAACUGGCGCUCUUGAGUGGAAGAGAAGUAUGCGGAAUGCGUGGUGUAGCGGUGAAAUGCAUAGAUAUCACGCAGAACCCCGAUUGCGAAGGCAGCAUGCCGGCUUCCGACUGACGCUGAAGCACGAAAGCGUGGGGAUCGAACAGGAUUAGAUACCCUAGUAGUC